UACGUAGGGGGCAAGCGUUGUCCGGAUUUAUUGGGCGUAAAGCGCACGCAGGCGGUCUGCCGCGUUCGGAGUGACAGUUUCCGGCUUAACCGGGAAAGGUCUUCGAAAACGGGUGGACUUGAGGACUUGAGGGGGAGACGGAAUUCCGGGUGGAGCGGUGAAAUGCGUAGAUAUCUGGAGGAAUACCGGUGGCGAAGGCGGCAUCCUGGACCGGCAUUGACGCUGAUGAGCGAAAGCUAGGGGAGCAAACGGG
rnacentral:rRNA from 1 species